AAUUACUCAAUACGUAUACGAUAAUUGUACGUUUUUAUAGUCAACGUAUAAAUUCUUGCGAUGCUAAGUUAGUUAGUGUUUCGGUGGUAGUUAUACAUGAUGGAUACUUGUUUGUUUUCACUCGACUGGGAAUGAAUGGUCAACAUUAUAGGUUUUGGAAACCCAGUCAUAUUUAGACUUGAUCAAAAUAAAAACGCAAUUUCUGCAAUUUGCCGUAUGAAGCUUCUUAGCAAGUUAGCCUGCAUUUUCGCGCAAGGACGCUAACAUCUCUGUUAAUGAUUGUCAGUGGGGUUAAAACGUUAUUAUUGUACACAGGAGUAAACACAUUCUUAAAUUUUCAGGAUACUGUAAUACCUUGCAGCAGUUUUAACAGCGUAAGUUGUAUCGAAUUUAUCAACAGGUCAUUUUAGACUGCGUCAUUUUUAUCCCGCUACACUAAGUGACUUCGCAAAGGUGUGAUGAGCUUCAGGUUUAAGGGAAAGCGGUGCGUGUUGUGCACAAUUAUUUUUACAUAUUUUACUCCUCCAUCACGAAAUCACUGAUAUUGCAAGUAUACUUUCAGAUAUUUUAUACUUUCAGCCACUGUUUUAACACGUGUAAGAAAGGAGAGUCGAUAUUUUAAGAACUGCGGGGAUGACUGCACUGUAUGAGGACGCGCGUUUAGCACCGGUAUGCACUGAAUUGCUCUGGGUGCACUGCAGAAGACUGGGCCAGUUGCAAUGGCACAGUGAGUGCAUGUGGCGAGAGGCAGAAGUGUGUGUCUGCGGCAUCUGAAUUGAUCGAAGUUUCAUAUAGAGGGAAGCGAGUCACCAAGAAGGUUGCCAGGGCCUGCGUUGAUGCUGGAUUUUGCAAUGCAAACUUAUCCCUUAACUUCAAGCAUGCAACCUGGAAGAUAAGAACUACAUGUGACGGUAUCCAAGCACCUACGGUGAGCGGAGUGGCUGAAGCCAAUGGUCUGAGGUGUGUGGGCUGCAUCGCAGUGCCGUCGGAGUGCACCAAGGCCGUGGAGUGCCACGGCGAGGAGCGCAUGUGCAUCACCGUUACAGAAAAGGUGGCAGGGAACAUCAUGGUGAAUAAGGGCUGUGCUACCAGAAGUGCCUGUAAGCAAGGUGUGAACAUCUCGGAUCUGCUGGGGCCUGUGCUGACGGGCAGGGUCUCCUGCUGCGAGGGCAACCUCUGCAAUGGUGCUGGCACAGGGUGGCACAGCCUCCUUCUCCAGCUGCUCCUCCUCCCCUUGGUGGGAUUUCUGCUCUUUGCCUGAAGUCUAGCACUACGAAACCUGGUCACUGGAUGUCCCUGCGUGUGGUGUGUUUUGCCUGUGCCUCGAAUGGCUGAUUGCUGUUUGGGCAAGAGGGUUUGGCGUGAGGCUAAAGGACCUGACCUGAUUUUCAUUGCCUUACGUUGUAGCUUUACUUUGUCCUGCUAGGAGAUUUCCAAUUAUUUCAUUUUAUUUCCCAUCAGACCAGCAACUGGAAGGCCAGCGGAAAAGGGUUAGGUCCUUCCCCCCUUCAGUAAUUACAAAUGAAAUUGACCUAAACAAUAUUCUAUGCCAGUUUUGGCAGUCUGUCAUGCCUGGAGCAUUUCGACCAAUUCCCAGAGCAUUCAAAUACACAUUUGAAACCCUAGCCAACUAGACACGUUUAUUUUAUUUAUGAAUCUUCCUCCUGGUAUAAAUUGACAUUGGUAUGAUUUUGAGCAGUGCAUUUUUUUUUCUACAUUGUUGUUAUAAUUUUAACAAUAUUUACCAGGUUGUGGUUUGUUGGGAACAAAGCUGCCAGGUUACUGACUCACAGCUGCAAUUCUGAGCACGUCAUUCCUGCCUUAAUGCUGUACUUGCUGUCUCUUUGUCACCACAUUCAUUACAACAUAGUAAACACUUAUAACUUAUCAAACUGAUUAUAAUGCCUUAAAUGGGAUAUGACUGUCUCAAACUGAAAGGUUGUCAGCAGUAAUAUCUUUGUUCUCAAGGAUCUCUGUGCUCAGAGAAUGAGGGGUUUUUCAUAGUGUUCAGGUUCACUCUUCAGUCUGCUGUUCUGAGGUCUUUUGGUUGUGGUAGUCUCCCCCGAUUUAAGCUAGGAAAGCAGAUUGUCUUAAUUUUUUUUAAACCCAGCUGGAAAUCUUUUUUUCACCUGCUUUUACAUAACUGUAUGUAACUGUUCUGUAUUUUGCCUCUAUAUAUGUUAUUUGGUGUGUUCUGUGCACAGCAUCCUGAUACACCUUGGUGUGAAAUUGCACUGAAACUAAAUAUGAAUUGAAUGGCUCAAUAUGCAAACUAGGUCACAUAUCUCUAUGGCAACAAGUCACUUGCCGUUGACCAAUGUGAAACCGAACCGAUUUCUCACUACUUGGUUUUAUACCAGAGUGACAGAUAAUAGUUCAUCUUCCACUUUUUUUGGACAUUAGUUUGAUGAUCGAGUUUCUGCAAAGAGGAUAUGGUCUUAUAUGAGAACAGGGUAGUCCUGUGUAGUCAUUACACUAGGGCUCAGAAUAUCUCAGCGAUAAUACUGCAUACUCCAAGCUGAAAAUCUUAUGGUGUUACUUUUUUGAGACUCCCCCUCUUUUAAGUUAAACCUUUAAUAUAUUAUCACAUUACAGAAAAAUAGAGAUGUCAUAAUGAUAUGUAGAAGUAAUAAUAUAACGGUUUUCACCUGUGAAUGAGCUGCAUUUGGCCAUGCUGACGUUCUCGCACAGAAGCAUGCUGUGAUUUUGUUGUUUGUUGUUUGAGCUGGAAGUAAAUGGGCACGCAACGGAAAUGAAAGAAAUUAUAGCAGAGAUUUUAUCCAUAUGUAAGGUUACGUUUUUCAGUAAUGAUCGUCUUGAGAUGGCAAGAUACUGUGCGCAGUUUGUCUCAUGAAAUUUGCACCAAACAAACAACAGUUAGCUGUCGAGGGAGUCUUGCAGUUUUCUCUCAGUUUUGAGUGCAAAAAAUUAAACAUAUGUAUACAGUAUUUCAGGGAGAGAAUAUAAUCUCAGAGGUGCUUUACAGUCCAACAGACAAGACUGAAGUGACAGAUAUGGUUAAGCAGUAUACUUGUCAUGUAAUUUGAUCUGUGAGAACAUACAUCCCACACUACUGCCUGCUUGGUCUUUUCACACCAAAGGCAAGCCAUCUUGUAGGCAGCUUUGCACGUCCUCAGAGGAGGUGUGAAGGACUGUGCAGAAGAACACUGUGUGAAGCUGGCUAGCCUUUUGAAGCUACCCUUUCACACUGAAGUGAGGGCAGCUCAACAGGUGAGUCAAAGCUGUCUUAAAGGUAGUUUACUCUGCAGCGUAAAAGGAGUUUAUGGCAAGGAUGGGUCCCCCCGAUUCAGUUAAUCCAAUGAAGGUUUACAUUGGCAGAAAAUUUUUUUGACAUACUAAUCCCAAUAAAAACAGUGAGACAAGUGUUUAGGACAGCUAAAAUGCCUGGCAUACAAUCAGUCAUUCUAUGAAAUAUGUUUUUAAGUAGCACCAGAAAGACACUAUGAAACACAGCAGGAACUUUUGUACUUUGUGCUGGACUAGACAUUGAUAUGAAGUUUCAUGUUUUACUGCUUAUCCAGUGUAUCCACCAAGGGAUGUAACAGCACAUGGAUAUGAUCAAUAAAAUGGUGUGAGUUGUCCCUUUCGAUGUACAAGUAUGCCAGAUGAACUGAUGAAUUUUUUAAUUAUAAUGGAGAACAAAAGUGAUUUUGACAGUUUGCACUAAAUGUCAUUGUGGAUAAUUAUCAUUUUGAACUGUCUAAAUUGAGAAAUGUUGUCGACAAUAUUGGAGCCAUUCUAUCAAUGCGCUGAAUCACCGUGAAGCCAAAGGUUUAUGACCCCUGUUUUUUUUUUUUUUUUUUAAAUCUAAUCUGCUGUACAUCCAAUAAAUCUGCUUGUUACAACUGAAAGUAAAUUUUUUUGGAAUACUCAUACUCCUGCCUCUCUGUGCUAGAGCUGUUUAUUCUGUUAAACAGAAUAUCAGAUGCAGUGUGGUACGCUGGUGUGGAGUACGGCCUGCAACCCACAGGUAUAGCUGUAUAAAAUGGAUGAGAAGUGAAGGCUGUAACUCUGAGAGCGCUACGCAACUGCAGUAAACUGGACAGAGAGGCAGAUGGUACUGUUUAUGUAUCAUGCUUAGAAAUAUAUAUAGGAAGUAUUUGUUGCACGUUUGCGUGAAAUACAGUUGCGUUUUCACACAAGCUUGAUAAAAUAGUCUUAGGGCUUUUGGCAAAGUUA